UAUCUCUGUAGAGUCUGCAUAUCAAUAAGCGGAGGAAAAGAAACUAACUAGGAUUCCCUUAGUAACGGCGAGUGGAAGCGGGAAGAGCUCAAAUUUGAAAUCUUCAAGGUUUUACCUUGACGAAUUGUAGUUUAAAGAAGUGUUUUCUGUUGGAGUUUUCGGUAAAAGUUCUUUGGAAUAGGACAUCAUAGAGGGUGAGAAUCCCGUAUUUGACCAUUAUUUUCAGCUGUGUGAUACACUUUCAAAGAGUCGGAUUGUUUAGGGAAUGCAGUCCAAAAUGGGUGGUAAAUUUCAUCUAAAGCUAAAUAUUGGCGAGAGACCGAUAGCGAACAAGUACCGUGAGGGAAAGAUGAAAAGAACUUUGAAAAGAGAGUUAAACAGUACGUGAAAUUGUCAAAAGGGAAGCGUUUGACACCAGUGUUGUUUUUCUCGAAAAUCAAUUAAGAAUGGCUUGAUUCUGUGUUGUAUUGACCUUAUCAGCUUUCUUCACUUUUUUCGAGUCUUUCUUAAUGCACUUUUCGGUUAACAAGUCAACAUCAAUUUCUUUUGUUGUAAAAGAGUAUUCGGAAGGUGGCUUUCUUUUCGGAGAAAGUGUUUAUAGCCCUAUACUUCUACAAUCGGAGAGAUUGAGGUCUGCAGCGUAGAUCCUUCGGGGUUAGAUACAUUUGUGCUAAGUUGUAGCUUUUCAUAGACAACUUGUUGACUAUGUUUAGUCAUGCGGCUUACUCGCUUGUGCUAUUUUACCUACGCUUAGGAUGUUGAAGAUGUAGCACAUCAU
rnacentral:rRNA from 1 species